rnacentral:rRNA from 1 species
AAUUGAUCUGGUCAGAACGAACGCUGGCGGCGCGUUUAAGCAUGCAAGUCGAGCGGCAAGGGCCUUCGGGCCCCUAGAGCGGCGGACGGGUGAGUAACACGUGGACAAUCUGCCCCCCGGCCCGGGAUAGCCCCAGGGAAACCUGGAUUAAUACCGGAUGAGACGGGACCCGCGAUGGCGGGACCCGGGAAAGGCGCUGCGGCGCCGCCGGGGGAUGAGUCUGCGUCCCAUUAGCUAGACGGCGGGGUAACGGCCCACCGUGGCGACGAUGGGUAGCCGGCCUGAGAGGGUGGACGGCCACAUUGGAACUGAGACACGGUCCAGACUCCUACGGGAGGCAGCAGCUAAGAAUCUUCCGCAAUGGGCGAAAGCCUGACGGAGCGACGCCCGCGUGAACGAAGAAGGCCGUGAGGUUGUAAAGUUCUUUUCGGGAGGGGGAACAACCGUGGCAGGGAAUGGCCGCGGGAUGACGUGAAUCCCGGAAUAAGCCCCGGCUAACUACGUGCCAGCCGCUGC